CACGUAGACAACCUACCCUUAGAUAAGGGAUAAUCUCGGGAAACUGAGGAUAAUACCUUAUAAAAGACAGGCACUGGAAUGUCCUGUCUCACAAAGCUUCGGCGUCUAAGGAUGGGUCUGCGAUUGAUUAGGCUGUUGGUGGUGUAAUGGACCACCAAACCUGCGAUCAAUAGGGGCACUGAGAGGUGUAGCCCCGAGAAGGGCACUGAGACAAGGGCCCUGGCCCUACGGGGUGCAGCAGCUACGAAACCUCCACAAUGCGCGCAAGCGUGAUGGGGCCAGUCAGAGUGCGCUAUCUAUGAUAGUGCUUUUGUAAAGUGUAAGGAGCUUUACGAAUAAGGGGUGGGUAAGACAGGUGCCAGCCGCGGUAACCCCUGCGCCUCAAGUAGUGGCCGGUUUUAUUGGGCCUAAAGCGUUCGUAGCCUGUUCGGUAAGUUCUUCGUGAAAUCACUCCUCUCAAAGGCGUGGCGUGCGAAGAAUACUGCCAGACUAGGGAGCGGGAAGAGCUAAGAGUAUUUCUGGAGGAAGGGUAGAAUCUUAUAAUUCCAGAAGGACUUCCUGUGGCGAAGGCGCUUAGCUGGAACGCGUCCGACGGUGAGGAACGAAACCCUAGGGAGCAACCCGGAUUAGAUACCCGGUUAGUCUAGGGCGUAAACGCUGCCCGCUAGGUGUUGCAUGUUCCAUGAGGGCAUGCAGUGCCGGAGCGAAGGCAUUAAGCGGGCCGCCUGGGGAGUACGGUCGCAAGGCUGAAACUUAAAGGAGUUGGCGGGGGAGCACUACAAGGGGUGAAGCUUGCGGUUUAAUUGGAUUCAACCCCGUAAACCUCACCGGGAGCGACAGCAGAAUGAAGGCCAGUCUGAAGGGCUUGCCUAACACGCUGAGAGGAGGUGCAUGGCCGCCGUCAGCUCGUGUCGUAAGACGUCCUGUCAAGUCAGGUAACGAGCGAGACCCAUGCUUUUAUUUGCCACCCUAAUCUCUGGAUUGGGAGCACAAUAAAAGGACUGCCUUCGAAAGGAGGAGGAAGGUAUGGGCUACGGUAGGUCAGUAUGCCCCGAAUCCCCCGGGCUACACGCGAGCUGCAAUGGUUAGUACAGAGGGAUGCAACACCGAAAGGUGAAGCCAAACCCAUAAAGCUAGCCUCAGUGCGGAUUGUGGGCUGCAACCCGCCCACAUGAAGUCGGAAUCCCUAGUAAUCGCGGGUCAAAAACCCGCGGUGAAUACGUCCCUGCUCCUUGCACACACCGCCCGUCAAACCAUUCGAGUUGGGCUUGGGUGAGACUUUAUCCUUUGGGUAGAUUCGAAUCCAGGUUCGGCGAGAGGGGUUAAGUCGUCACAAGGUA
rnacentral:rRNA from 1 species